rnacentral:antisense_RNA from 1 species
UGGAGGCUGCAGGGAAUAUGGAUUUAAAUGAAUUUUGGCUGUACCAUCAAGCAGUCUGAUCACUGAGGAAAUAUCAAAAGCUUCACCCUAGUGACUCAUCACCCAAAUUCAACAGAGACUUGCCAAAGAAGCUGCUUAUUUCACAGAACGAUGGUGCUGGCUGAAAGAUGCUUCCUUGAAACUGAGAAAUUGCUUCCUUAGACAGGUCUCCUUGAAGAGCAUUCAUGAUAAGCAACCAGCAUCUGCUGCCAAAGGCUCUGUCCACAUCAAAGACUCUUCUGUGAAAGACCAGCAACCACCUGGGCCAGACCAGGAUAUUCUUUUGGCCUACAUCACUCUCUAUGAACUGGUCUGUUAACCUUUUUUUGCUAUCCCUUUUCUCUUGAUGUUAAAUGUCACUUAGUUUGUUGUGGAAUGUUUAAUCUAUAACACUUAUGUAUUGUUUAAGUAUACUAUCAUGUAUGGUUGGCAAUAUUGACUGACUUGUGGAGUGGCUUGAGCCAGUGUGCCCACAGCUCUAAUUACCAAGUGAGUGGGAAUUACUAAGGAGAACUGCUUCCUUGGGAACUCCAUAUAGCUCGUGGCUUUUAUGAUUGAGAUAGUGUCAAUAGAAGUCUUAUAUUUGGGGAAAGACA